GCAAGUCGAGGGGUAUAUAGUGCUUGCACUAUAGAGACCGGCGCACGGGUGCGUAACGCUUAUGCAAUCUACCUUAUACAGGGGAAUAGCCCAGGGAAACUUGGAUUAAUGCCCCAUAGUAUCAUUAAGUAACCUUACUAUAUGAUUAAAGAAGUAUCGGUAUAAGAUGAGCAUGCGGCGCAGUAGUUAGUUGGUAAGGUAACGGCUUACCAAGACAGCGAUGGGUAGGGGCCCUGAGAGGGGGAUC
rnacentral:rRNA from 1 species